UCAGUUUCCGUAGUAUAUGCUUGAUAUUCAUCGGAGACGGAGCUAAAACCUCGGUUCAACCUUACUCCGGAGAUAACCUAGAGCAGGGUUGGGUUUGAUCAAAGAUCAUAUCAUCCUAGGAUAUUCCUCUGGAGGAUUAAAUAAGUUGAAAGAAAAUUAUGUGGAGAGUGACAUGUGAUUAAUGGUGUAGAAGUGAACUAGCUCAAGCUUGUUAGAAACCUGUUCUAAAUUGAAAUAAAUUGAGCUGACGAAAUAAAUCCAUUGAUAAGGAUAGUUAGAUAGAGAGGACAUGUUGAUUUCAGGAUACUAAACGGCGCGAGUAUGAGUAUGGUAGACAAGUUAGGUAGCUUGAGUCAGCUGGGUAGUUUGAACCAGCUGGCCGGCAAGAUAUCACCUGGAGCUCAUGAACCUGAUCAUGAUGCAAUCAAGAUGUUUGUCGGUCAAGUACCCAGGUCUAUGGAUGAAGAGGAGCUUAUUAAACUGUUCCAGGUG